rnacentral:rRNA from 1 species
UACGUAGGGUGCGAGCGUUGUCCGGAAUUAUUGGGCGUAAAGAGCGUGUAGGCGGCCAUGCAGGUCCGUUGUGAAAACUCGAGGCUCAACCUCGAGACGCCGAUGGAAACCGCAUGGCUAGAGUCCGGAAGAGGAGAGUGGAAUUCCUGGUGUAGCGGUGAAAUGCGCAGAUAUCAGGAAGAACACCCGUGGCUAAGGCGGCUCUCUAGUACGGUACUGACGCUGAGACGCGAAAGCGUGGGGAGCGAACAGG